AAACCAACAGGGAUUGCCUUAGUAACGGCGAGUGAAGCGGCAAAAGCUCAAAUUUGAAAGCUAGCACCUUCGGUGUUCGCGUUGUAAUUUGAAGAUAGUUUCCUUGAGUAGUCCUUUAUCUAUGUUCCUUGGAACAGGACGUCAUAGAGGGUGAGAACCCCGUAUGAUUUUGGAUACUACUCUUUGUGGGAUUCUAUCGAAGAGUCGAGUUGUUUGGGAAUGCAGCUCUAAGUGGGUGGUAAAUUCCAUCUAAAGCUAAAUAUUGGCGAGAGACCGAUAGCGAACAAGUACAGUGAUGGAAAGAUGAAAAGAACUCUGAAGAGAGAGUGAAAAAGUACGUGAAAUUGCUGAAAGGGAAGGGCUUGAGGUCAGACUUGGUGUUUAAUGAUUAUCAGUUCUUCUUGGACUGUGCACUCGUUUUUCACCGGGCCAAUAUCAGUUUUAGCGGUAGAGUACCCCUUGAAACGUGGCUUCCUUCGGGGAGUGUUAUAGUCUUGGGGAGAUCUACUUGCUGGGACUGAGGACUGCGCUUCGGCAAGGAUAUUGGCGUAAUGACCUUAAGCCGU
rnacentral:rRNA from 1 species